rnacentral:rRNA from 1 species
CUCUGUGACUACUACGGGAGCAGCAGUGGGGAAUAUUGCACAAUGGGCGCAAGCCUGAUGCAGCAACGCCGUGUGAGUGAAGAAGGUUUUCGGAUCGUAAAACUCUGUCCUAAGGGAAGAAACAAAUGACGGUACCUUAGGAGGAAGCCCCGGCUAACUACGUGCCAGCAGCCGCGGUAAUACGUAGGGGGCAAGCGUUAUCCGGAAUCACUGGGCGUAAAGGGUGCGUAGGCGGCUUAGCAAGCCAGGGGUGAAAGGCAUUGGCUCAACCAAUGUAAGCCUUUGGAACUGUUAAGCUUGAGUGCAGGAGAGGUAAGUGGAAUUCCUAGUGUAGAGGUGAAAUUCGUAGAUAUUAGGAGGAACACCAGUGGCGAAGGCGACUUACUGGACUGUAACUGACGCUGAUGCACGAAAGCGUGGGUAGCGAACAGGAUUAGAUACCCUGGUAG